CCUACGGGAGACAGCAGUGGGGAAUAUUGCACAAUGGGCGCAAGCCUGAUGCAGCGACGCCGCGUGAGUGAAGAAGUACUUCGUUAUGUAAAGCUCUAUCAGCAGGGAAGAAAAUGUCGGUACCUGAGUAAUAAGCCCCGGCUAACUACGUGCCAGCAGCCGCGGUAAUACGUAGGGGGCAAGCGUGAACCGGCUUUACUGGGGGUAAAGGGAGCGUCGACGGGGCGCCAAGUCUGGAGUGAAAUGCCCGGGCCUAACUUGGGAACUGCUUUGGAUACUGGCGAACUAGAGUGCGGGAGGGGGAAGCGGAAUUCCUAGUGUAGCGGUGAAAUGCGUAGAUAUUAGGAGGAACACCGGUGGCGAAGGCGGCUUACUGGACAGUAACUGACGUUGAGGGGCGAAAGCGUGGGGAGCAAACAGGAUUAGAUACCCCAGUAGUC
rnacentral:rRNA from 1 species